rnacentral:rRNA from 1 species
AUUGAACGCUGGCGGCAUGCUUUACACAUGCAAGUCGAACGGCAGCGCGGGCUUCGGCCUGGCGGCGAGUGGCGAACGGGUGAGUAAUGCAUCGGAACGUGCCCAGUAGUGGGGGAUAGCCCGGCGAAAGCCGGAUUAAUACCGCAUACGACCUGAGGGUGAAAGCGGGGGACCGAAAGGCCUCGCGCUAUUGGAGCGGCCGAUGUCGGAUUAGCUAGGUGGUGGGGUAAAGGCUUACCAAGGCGACGAUCCGUAGCUGGUCUGAGAGGACGACCAGCCACACUGGGACUGAGACACGGCCCAGACUCCUACGGGAGGCAGCAGUGGGGAAUUUUGGACAAUGGGGGCAACCCUGAUCCAGCCAUGCCGCGUGAGGGAAGAAGGCCUUCGGGUUGUAAACCGCUUUUGUUCGGGAAGAAAUCCUCUGGGCUAAUACCCCGGGGGGAUGACGGUACCGGAAGAAUAAGCACCGGCUAACUACGUG